rnacentral:rRNA from 1 species
GAUGAACGCUGGCGGCGUGCCUAAUACAUGCAAGUCGAGCGAACAGACGCGGAGCUUGCUCCUCUGACGUUAGCGGCGGACGGGUGAGUAACACGUGGAUAACCUACCUAUAAGACUGGUAUAACUUCGGGAAACCGGAGCUAAUACCGGAUAAUAUAUUGAACCGCAUGGUUCAAUAGUGAAAGACGGUUUUGCUGUCACUUCUAGAUGGAUCCGCGCCGCAUUAGCUAGUUGGUAAGGUAACGGCUUACCAAGGCAACGAUGCGUAGCCGACCUGGGAGGGUGAUCGGCCACACUAGAACUGGGACACGGUCCAGACUCCUACGAGAGGCAGCAGUAGGGAAUGUUCCGCAAUGGGCGAAAGCAUGACGGAGCAACGCCGAGUGAGUGAUGAAGGUCUUCGGAUCGUAAAACUCUGUUAUUAGGGAAGAACAAAUGUGUAAGUAACUAUGCACGUCUUGACGGUACCUAAUCAGAAAGCCACGGCUAACUACGUG